UCAAAGUGCAAAGGUGAGCUGAUGUGUCAGAAGAAGGGGUGAAAUCUGCAGCACUUCUGUUCAACAUGCCCAAGAGGAAAAACAAGCAACAGCGACAGCACCAGAAGAGGAAGAUUCCUCAAGUUGGUGCCUCCACAGUGCCCAUCAUUGAAAACAAGAAGAUCCCAGAAAGCAUCAUUAUUAACUCACCACAUUUAUGGAGACCUACACUGGAUCCUAGGUCAGAACCCCUGUGAAGCUGAAUCACCUUUACUCUCCUAGAGACAGCAAGAUUGUUCCCCUCCACUGUGAGAUGGCAUCCCUUCUUCUACGUUUCACCAUUUCUGUUCACCUCAAGAUUUCCCUCAUACCCUGUUUGGCAAUUUCUGGAGCUCCCAACAUGACCAGUGUGAGGU
rnacentral:lncRNA from 1 species